rnacentral:rRNA from 1 species
UAAUUUUAUUGUAGUUAUUUUUUUUUAUAAUUGUGUUUUUUUAUGUAAAAAAUUUUUUUUUUUCAUUUUUAAGCUAUAAUUAAUUUUACUUAGAACAUAUUUUUUUUUUAGAUUAAUUUAAGUGCCAGCAAUCGCGGUUAUACUUAAAUAAAAAAAAAUUUUUUUUGACAAAUUAACAUAUGUGUUUUUUAAAAAAGGUGUAAUUUUUUUUUAAAAAAUUUUAAACAAAAAACGGAUUUGAUACCCGUGUAUUAUUAUUUAUUACUAUAAGAAGUAAAAAAAAAUUAUACAAUUAGACGGUUUAAUAAAAAAUAGAGGAACAUGUUUUUGAUCCGAAAAUACACGAUAUUUUGAUUUUUAUGAAAAGUUGUAUAUGUCCGUUUUUAAUAAAAAAAUAAUUUUUUUUUUUUUUUUUUUUUUUCAGGUCGACAUGCACAAGAAAACUAUAUAAUGUGUUUCAAGAUAUUAAAAUUUUAUGAAAUGAUUUAUUUUAAAAGAGAAUUUAUAAGUAUAAAUAUUUAUUUUUUAAAAUAUUUAGAAAAAUACAUAAAGUACUCACCGCCCGCUAAUUAUAUAACCCCAGGUUUAAAUUAUAAUAAGGCGUAACAAGGUAGGUAGUCUAAAAAGACCACCUAGUUAUUUUUUCAUUUUUUUUUUUC